AGCAGCCGCGGUAAUUCCAGCUCCAAUAGCGUAUAUUAAAGUUGUUGCAGUUAAAAAGCUCGUAGUUGAAUUUCGGGGUUAGUAGGUUGGUCAUGCCUCUGGUAUGUACUGGUCUCACUGAUUCCUCCUUCCUUAUGAACCGUAAUGCCAUUAAUUUGGUGUUGCGGGAAAUUUGGACUGUUACUUUGAAAAAUUAGAGUGUUUAAAGCAAGCUAACGCUUGAAUACAUUAGCAUGGAAUAAUGAAAUAGGACGUUCGAUCUUAUUUUGUUGGUUUCUAGGAUUGACGUAAUGAUUAAUAGGGAUAGUUGGGGGCAUUAGUAUUCAAUUGUCAGAGGUGAAAUUCUUGGAUUUAUUGAAGACUAACUACUGCGAAAGCAUUUGCCAAGGAUGUUUUCAUUAAUCAAGAACGAAAGUUAGGGGAUCGAAGACGAUCAGAUACCGUCGUAGUCU
rnacentral:rRNA from 1 species